GUUCAUCAUGUAAAAGCUCCACUUAGGGUUGGAUGUAUUUUUGUGUUUUGAUGUUAUGGGCGUGUCUAUCCUACAACCGGACCAUCGGUGCAGACUGAAAUCAAACAACCAUGAGCAAGUCGAGCUUAUCAGUAGAACCGGUGCUAAAGACCCAUAUAAUGCAAUCCGUAUAACUGUUUCCCCUCUUCACCUCCUCCUCCCUUUUUCUCCAUAGAAUCUCAGAGAAGCAUGUCAAAGCCAUUAGAGAGAUACCAAAAACUCGUCCUCAAAGAAUCAUUGCCCAAAUCCACAGGUACCCAUUUGCCCGCAAAGAGCUCAGCUUAAUCCUCAGGUGCGCUUACAAGAAAUUCCUAUCUCUUGUCUUCCAAGACACUUUCACGACCUUUUGCCGCAUUCUUGAAAUGCAGAUUCACGAUGCUAUUUUGGUAGCCCAUCUCCUCCUAUAGAGCCUUGAGGCCGAAGCAAAAGAAGAAUAUGGCUGUCGCAGAAUACAAGAAUGCAAUGGUUGCUCAUAAGGCGCACUAAAGCACGCCAAGAAGAAAAGGGUAACAUGAUUUUACUUUGUGUUUGCUAAUAUCUGAAUAUGUUCGAUGUUUUUGAAGCUUAUCAGUUGGAGAUCAUGAAGUUGCUUGCUUUAAUACGUUAAUCGAAUAAUGUCCUUGUUAAUUGUUUUGCCUCCUCUCCCUGUAGUUUCGGGUUUAACUCAGCUGCCACAAGAUGUUCUUGUUCAAGGGUUCCUUGAUAUGCAAUCCUUGGUCUAUGUUGGACUAGUUUGCUAGUAAUUCCGAUUUCCUUCAAUUAAGUUCAUGUAUUCGGUUUUCAUGAUUUAAACUGCAUUUUAAUUAGCAAUUAUCCCAAUGCUAAAACUAUUAUAAUGGUUUGAAUGUGAUGAUUUAGAGCAGCUUCUGUAUUAUGUUUCUUUGUAUGUAAAUGACCAUAUAUAUUUUGGAGCACCACUGAUGUAAGUACUCUCUCUAUCUAUAUACUGUCUUAUUAUCCCGUCACUCUAUUCAGAGAUCAUUUGCUGUUUAUUAGUGUUUCUGUGACUUGAAUUGAUUGAACUGAUGUUCCUAAAUUUCUUCUUGCCAAGCCUUUAGAAAGGAUUAUUAGGUACAGUGAAUGAUCUUAAAUAACACAAAAAUUGGCCUAAUUAUUAUUGGAAAGCCGUUUUUUUUCUUAGUAAAAUGUUUUCAGGUUUGUUAAUGCAGUUCUGACAAUACCUAAGGGGACUCUAUUUCCUAUGUGCGUGAACUUGGCAUUAUGCCAUGGACUGAUUGGACCAGCAAUGUACUUUGGACUCAUUGGUGAUGGUCGGCCAAUUGGAAGAUGUGAUGAUAUGUGGGUUGGCUGGUGCAUGAAGGUAAUUUCAAUUGUUUCUUUAGUUAUCUAUCAAUCAUUCACCUUUUUUUUUCCGCACUUUUAGAUUUUUUAAGGUGGAUUUAGCACUUCAACUGUAAUAUUGAUUGGAUUACUGUUCAUAAGAUUAAACUAACUUGUGGUUUGGAUUAUUAAGAAAAUGAUUGACGGUGGAGUUUGUAUGUUGUCAGGAAUGAAUUAAGAUAACUUGGUAUGAAAGCCAAACGUCCUUUUAAUAACUUACGGACUUAAGAGAUUUCUAGCUUGUGAUCAUUACCUCCAAGCUUUCUAGAUGUACACUGGGUUGAAUUUAUUGUCUUCAAUGUGCCUAUAAACAUCACAUUAUUUUCGAUGUCACCUUCAUCUCUGAAGAAGUGUUGAAGGUUGGUUGCAUAUGUUUGGAUUUAGAUUGAUUUGAGACAAUGUCCUAGAGUAGGCUUCCUAUGGAUUCUGAUUUCAAUUUCGAGCCCUGGAUGCUAGCUACCUUAUAUGUCCUCACUUUUCACCAAGGUUAGUGGGAAAUUAUUGCCCUUUGGAAAUUAGUGUUGUUAAUAUAAUUGAGGAUUAGUGUUCUUUCCCUAUAGGUCAAAUAGUGAAGUGAUGAUUUAGCACACAUUGGAUAGCUGUAGUGGGACAUUUGAAAAAGAAGCAAACAAGUAGUUUGAAAUUAAUACACUAGUAGCAAAGCCAAAAAGACGAUGUAACAAUUAGUCUCGACAGAUCUUGAUAAUGUUGUCCACUGGAAGUGUGGAGUGUAUUACCUUCUUCAUAAGAUGAUACCUUUUCAAUCCAGAUAUCUAAAAUCACUGAAGAAUGAGUGACUAUCUCUCAACCCUACUCUCUGGGGUUCCAGAGCGUGUCAAUUUUUCCCCAGCACGCACUUAGUUUUCUCCCUCAACUGUUUCCAUGUUCAACUCUUUCGACUGAAUAAAGAAAUUCGGAGCUCUGCACGCCCUAAUCAGAGAUUAAAUCGAAGAUUUGGAGUUUAAUCAGAGAUUUUGGAGCACAAUCGGAAGUCUUGUAAGCAGAUUCUGGAGCACAAUCAGAGUUCUUCCUUUUACCUUGAGGCCUUAGUGAAUGACGGGAACCAUGUCGCCUUCCUGUUGGUGCGAGUCUACUUCUGGCGGAGUGUGUAUAGGGAUGCCGUGUAUGACAACUUUUGGACCAACUGACACAAUUAUGUAUUUGGGACAAUUUUUGACAACAUUCUAACAUUCCUAGAGGUUGAAUGAUUUGUUUUUGUUUUUUGCAUUG